rnacentral:rRNA from 1 species
UACAGAGGGUGCAAGCGUUAAUCGGAAUUAUUGGGCGUAAAGCGUGCGUAGACGGUUAUUUAAGUCAGGUGUGAAAGCCCCGGGCUCAACCUGGGAAUUGCAUUUGAGACUGAAUAGCUAGAGUGCGGAAGAGGGAAGCGGAAUUUCCGGUGUAGCGGUGAAAUGCGUAGAUAUCGGGAGGAACACCAGUGGCGAAGGCGGCUUCCUGGUCCAGCACCGACGUUCAGGCACGAAAGCGUGGGGAGCAAACAGG